rnacentral:rRNA from 1 species
UACGUAGGUGGCAAGCGUUGUCCGGAAUUAUUGGGCGUAAAGCGCGCGCAGGCGGCCUCUUAAGUCUGAUGUGAAAGCCCCCGGCUCAACCGGGGAGGGCCAUUGGAAACUGGGAGGCUUGAGUAUAGGAGAGAAGAGUGGAAUUCCACGUGUAGCGGUGAAAUGCGUAGAGAUGUGGAGGAACACCAGUGGCGAAGGCGACUCUUUGGCCUAUAACUGACGCUGAGGCGCGAAAGCGUGGGGAGCAAACAGGAUUGAGAACCAGUACCGGACGUAAGACCAA